GGUUCCAUAGUGUAGUGGUUAGCACAUCUGCUUUACACACGGAAGGUCCUGGGUUUGUACUCCAGUAGAGCCA
rnacentral:tRNA from 1 species